rnacentral:rRNA from 1 species
UACCAGCUCUCCGAGUUGUAGGGAUGAUUAUUGGGCUUAAAGCGUCCGUAGCUGGCUUAGCAAGUCUCCUGUUAAAUUCAGCGACCUAAUCGUUGAGCCGCGGGAGAUACUACUAGGCUAGGAGGCGGGAGAGGUCGACGGUACUUUCGGGGUAGGGGUGAAAUCCUAUAAUCCCGGGAGGACCACCAGUGGCGAAGGCUGUUGACUAGAACGCGCUCGACGGUGAGGGACGAAAGCUGGGGGAGCGAACCGGAUUAGAUACCCGGGUAGUCCCAGCUGUAAACGAUGCGAGCUAGGUGCUGGGGUGGCUACGUGCCACUUCAGUGCCGCAGGGAAGCCAUUAAGCUCGCCGCCUGGGGAGUACGGCCGCAAGGCUAGAAACUUAAAGGAAUUGGCGGGGAGCACCACAAGGCGUGAAGCUUGCGGUUC